UUCCGGUUGAUCCUGCCGGACCUGACUGCUAUCGGAUUGGUACUAAGCCAUGUGAGUCAUUGUAGCAAUACAAGGCAUACGGCUCAGUAACACGUAGUCAAUCUAACCUAUGGACGUGGAUAACCUCGGGAAACUGAGAAUAAUCCGCGAUAGAUCAUUAUACCUGGAACGGUUUAUGGUCGAAAUGAUUCGUCGCCAUAGGAUGGGACUGCGGCCUAUCAGCUUGUUGGUGAGGUAAUGGCCCACCAAGGCUAUUACAGGUACGGGCUCUGAGAGGAGAAGCCCGGAGAUGGGUACUGAGACACGGACCCAGGCCCUAUGGGGCGCAGCAGGCGAGAAACCUUUGCAAUGUGCGCAAGCACGACAAGGUUAAUCCGAGUGUUUCCUGCUAAAGGAAUCUUUUGUUAGUUCUAAAACCACUGAUGAAUAAGGGGUGGGCAAGUUCUGGUGUCAGCCGCCGCGGUAAAACCAGCACCUCAAGUGGUCAGGAGGAUUAUUGGGCCUAAAGCAUCCGUAGCCGGUUCUGUAAGUUCCCGGUUAAAUCCACUAGCUCAACUAAUGGGCUGCCGGAAAUACUGCAGAACUAGGGAGUGGGAGAGGUAGACGGUACUCGGUAGGAAGGGGUAAAAUCCUUUGAUCUAUUGAUGACCACCUGUGGCGAAGGCGGUCU
rnacentral:rRNA from 1 species